rnacentral:lncRNA from 10 species
CUUUUCUCUAUCAUCAGAUGGGGGCCCCUGCGGUGGGCAGAAUAACGGCCACUGCAAAGAUGCCAAAUCUUAUCCCCAGAGCUUCCGCAGAGAUCCUGCAGAUGUGAUUCGAGUCUUCCAGCAACACCACCUCACUCUGCUUUGCACAAUCACUCCACCUCCCCACAUGUUGCGGAGAUUCUCCUGGGGAUUCACACUCUUCCUACUUGCAGCUGUGACACGGGAAACAUCCUCCACCAGGUCUUCUCUCACAGUGUGGCCUCUGCGCACAGGUUAUCCACCUGUAGACCUGGACGGGACCCUCGAGGCUCCCUACUCUGACCAUCUGGUUUUAUAGUUGAGGAACCAGAAGCCGAGGCAGGUAACUUGGUGCAGCCUAAAGGCCUCCAUCCCUCCAGUGCCCACAACUUAGGUGCCCACGACAACAACACUGGCCUACCGCAAAGACCCAGCCCAGAGGAACAAGGUGCCACUGUAUGUCUGAAAAGGGGGCCCUCGGCCUCACUGGGGAGCACCUUCCUCCAUCAGGGUCUCGACGGUGAAGAAGCAGGCUGUUUCCAUCUUCAGGAUACAAGCCAUCUGCGCAUAGGAAGAGGGUCCAGAGGCUCAUCUGGAAUCCCUCCUCACUCACUGGACGGAGGACCUGACCCCGUUCCCAUCAUUGGUUCUGAAUCCAUCAGCCCAGCAAGACAGGUGUCUCCAGCAAGUUCUGUAAAAUACAACCAUAGCCGGGCCUGGAGUCAGCCCCCAAUAAAGGGUUCACCAUGGAGUCAAAGCUUCCUUCACAUUGGGAAGAGCCUGAUGAUGCCGCCUUGGUGCCACCCGUGCAGGCCGUGUUCCACUUCUGUCAUGGGCUGGAGAGAAAAGAGCGACAUGGACCUGUUCAUGAAAGGCUCUUCCCGCAACACCAAGCCUGGGGCCUGCAGGGCCGCCAUGAAGAAAGGUGGCUCCUGCUUGGCAGAGAGAAAAGGGGAGGGAGGGCAGGUGAGUCACCAGCAUUGGGCCCCUCAGCCCAGGCUGCCAAGGCAGCCCAGUGGAACCUGUCCCCAUACAGCAUGUUUUUAGUUUGA